rnacentral:rRNA from 1 species
GAUGAACGCUGGCGGCGUGCUUAAUACAUGCAAGUCGAACGGAGAAUUAGCAAUAAUUCUUAGUGGCGAACGGGUGAGUAACGCGUUGGUGACCUGCCCCGAAGACAGGGAUAACAGUUCGAAAGGACUGCUAAUACCCGAUGAAGUUACAGUAUUUAGAAGGCUGUAACAAAAGGAGUAAUCCGCUUUGGGAGGGGCCUGCGUCCCAUCAGCUAGUUGGUAAGGUAAAAGCUUACCAAGGCGAAGACGGGUAGGGGACCUGAGAGGGUGAUCCCCCACACUGGCACUGAAACACGGGCCAGACACCUACGGGUGGCAGCAGUAGGGAAUAUUGCACAAUGGGCGAAAGCCUGAUGCAGCAACGCCGCGUGCGCGAAGAAGGCCUUCGGGUCGUAAAGCGCUUUUCUGGGAGAUGAGGAAGGACAGUAUCCCAGGAAUAAGGCUCGGCUAACUACGUGCCAGCAGCCGCGGUAAAACGUAGGAGCCAAGCGUUAUCCGAAUUCACUGGGCGUAAAGCGCGUGCAGGCGGCCUGGUAAGUUGGAUGUGAAAUCUCCUGGCUCAACUGGGAGAGGCCGUUCAAUACUGUCAGGCUAGAGGGCGACAGAGGGAGGUGGAAUUCCGGGUGUAGUGGUGAAAUGCGUAGAUAUCCGGAGGAACACCAGAGGCGAAGGCGACCUCCUGGGUCGCACCUGACGCUCAGACGCGAAAGCUAGGGGAGCGAACGGGAUUAGAAACCCCGGUAGUCCUAGCCGUAAACGAUGUAGACUGGGUGUCGGCGGGGUAAAAGCCGUCGGUGCCGAAGCCAACGCGAUAAGUCUACCGCCUGGGGACUACGGCCGCAAGGUUA